GUUGAAACACCGGUUGCCGUACGAUCACCGAAGUUGAGCAGCGUCGAACGUGGUCAGUACCACGAUGAGUGACAUCUUGGGAAUACCAGGUGCUGUAAG